rnacentral:lncRNA from 1 species
UAAUAGGUCCAAGUACACUGCUGUCAAUGUUGCUUCUCUGCUGCUCGGGAUGAGGGACAACGCUUGCGUCACGAAAUGCUGCGCUCGCUCUACCUCACCUUGCAUUGCGCACAAGGCUGCAAAAUUCGCAUAAAGGGUUCCGCGUGCCUCAUUUGGCUUCAGGAAUGCAACGCUCUGGUAUUCCGACUUAUUCUGUCCACUUGAGUCAUCAUUAUCCAAUGUUUUCUCUACUUGCAACUGCUCAAAAUCCUCUAGCU